UACGUAGGCAGCGAGCGUUGUUCGGAAUUACUGGGCGUAAAGAGCGCGCAGGCGGUCGUUCAAGUCGCGUGUGAAAGCCCCCCGGCUCAACUGGGGAGGGUCACGCGAUACUGAUCGACUCGAAGGCAGGAGAGGGAAGUGGAAUUCCCGGUGUAGUGGUGAAAUGCGUAGAUAUCGGGAGGAACACCAGUGGCGAAGGCGACUUCCUGGCCUGUUCUUGACGCUGAGGCGCGAAAGCUAGGGGAGCAAACGGG
rnacentral:rRNA from 1 species